GAACGCUGGCGGCGUGCUUAACACAUGCAAGUCGAACGUGAAAGGGGCUUCGGCCCUAAGUAAAGUGGCGCACGGGUGAGUAACACGUGGAUAAUCUGCCCUUAUGAUCGGGAUAACAGUCGGAAACGGCUGCUAAUACCGGAUACGCUCAAAAUGAAUUUUUUGAGGAAAGGUGACCUCUGCUUGCAAGUUACUGCAUGAGGAUGAGUCCGCGGCCCAUUAGCUAGUUGGUAGGGUAACGGCCUACCAAGGCAACGAUGGGUAGCCGAUUUGAGAGGAUGAUCGGCCACACUGGGACUGAAACACGGCCCAGACUCCUACGGGAGGUAGCAGUGGGGAAUAUUGCGCAAUGGGCGAAAGCCUGACGCAGACGACGCCGCGUUGAGGGAUGAAGGUUUUCGGAUCGUAAACCUCUGUCAGAAGGGAAGAAACCGCACCGUGCUAAUCAGCGGUGCAUUGACGGUACCUUCAAAGGAAGCACCGGCUAACUCCGUGCCAGCCGCCGC
rnacentral:rRNA from 1 species